CAAUGUUUGCCAUGGAAGACUCUACAGUGUACAUCCCAACCCUCUACGGCCGUUGCUGCUCCACCCGGGCAUUACCACAUCCACCCGGGUCUACAAGAAACCUCCAGGGCCGAGCUUCAACCACAGAACACCUCGUCACCGUUGAGGAGGUUCCACGCCCCGGACCACAGCCAUGUUAGCCUGGAUAAUAAAACUUGGCGCACUUAUUCUGAGACGUCCUCGUGAGUGAGUGCCCUAAUUGCCUUCAUGGAUAAUGUCACAGGUAUCCGAUGGUUCAGGUGUGAUCUCAGAUAUUUUUGUUAUUGUGUCGUAAAUAUCCAGUGAUAGUCGCUGAAUGUUCAUCGCACACAGUUUGUCUUUGAGUAGAAACACUGAUUAAUAUCCAUGAUCGGUUAGGUUACGAACUCCCACGAUUUCAGACUGGAGAGCUACACAACACUGGUCAUCCGCUGAGUGGUUGAUUUCCUGGUCUACCGGCCCCUGGAGGAGUGGUCGAUUGCCUGGUCUACCGUGGAUAUGAGUGGUUGAUUCCCUGGUCUACCCUUGGAUGACGCAGCUGUUCCUAUGCAGGGGAGGACUCACACAAGCGAUAAGCACCUGUCGGACCUGGAAACUCCCCCCUGAGCCUGACGGUGGAGCUGUGGGCCCUGCACCAGACCCCCCCCACCCCCCCACACCACCCACAGCAGGGGCAGGGCGUUGAGACUCCCCCCACAGGCUAAGACAGGGAGGGACUUGAAGAUCCAGAUGUCUAAGGUUCCGCCCAUGCAGCUGAAGGGUGCCAAUGCCUACACAUGCGUCGACCACAGGUGUGCGCUGGACAUUGCCUACAAUUCAUGGUGCAAAUGGGAGCGUCAGCGGAGAUCGAGCUGGCGGAAGGUUGGCGGCCGGGUCAAGCUCGCAACGGACAAGGAGUUCUGUGAGAUGUGCUCGGCGGAUGUUGUUGACCUCGGCCACAUCAAUGUUACUAAGGUGGUGGAGGUGUGGAAACUACAUCUACAUUGACGACGGACUCAAGGAGAUCGCUGAGACUACUACUACUACUAUUACUAUUGCUAUCCUCUAUACUGAUAUGUGUACUAUUAAAUCCUCUAUACAGCUACUAUGUGUACUAUUGAAUCCCUUAUAUAGUACUUCCAUGAGAGCUGAUGAAUGAUACUACUUCUACUACUGCUAUGACCACUCAAUCCCUGGUAAGUACAAUGUCAUUAUCAUCAUCAUUAUUUAGGUUAAGGUCCAUUUAAUUCAAUCUUCCUGAGCGGUUGGACGCUUUAUGGCUCUCCUCCAUUCUACUCUGUCUUCCGCCCAAUGCUUAUACGGUCCUAUCAAUCCCAAGUCUUCCUGUACACACCUUCUCCAUGUUUUCCUAGGUCUACCAACUGGUCUCCUUCCUUCUACCUCCAUUCUACUGUCUUCCCCCCAAUGCUUAUACAGUCCUAUCAAUCCCAAGUCUUCCUGUACACACCUUCUCCAUGUUUUCCUAGGUCUACCAACUGGUCUCCUUCCUUCUACCUCCAUUCUACUCUGUCUUCUGCCCAAUGCUCAUCCAAUCCCAUCAAUGCCAAGUCUUCCUGUACACACCUUCUCCACGUUUUCCUAGGUCUACCAACUGGUCUCCUUCCUUCUACCUCCAAUCUCUCCAACACUCCCAGCACUGUAUCCUCCCCUGCUCUCUUUACAUGUCCAAACCAUUGGAGUCUUUCCCUUCUGAGCACUGUUUCCAGGUCCUCUACUAAAACUCCCAGCACUGUGUCCUCCCCUGCUCUCUUUACAUAUCCAAACCAUCAGUCUUUCCCUUCUGAGCACUGUUUCCAGGUCCUCUACUAAAACUCCCAGCACUGUGUCCUCCCCUGCUCUCUUUACAUGUCCAAACCAUCGGAGUCUUUCCCUUCUGAGCACUGUUUCCAGGUCCUCUACUAAAACUCCCAGCACUGUGUCCUCCCCUGCUCUCUUUACAUGUCUCUGCCAAAUAUUUCCCUCUCCCUGCCUCUGUCCCUGCCAAAUCACUCUCUCCAUGCCUGUGUCCCUGCCAUAUCUCUCCCUCCCUGCCAAAUCUAGCCUCUCCUCCUUACCUAACCUACCUUACCCUAUCCUAAGCUACCCUAACCUACCUCUCUCUCCACCAGGUUGACAAGCCCGUCCAUGGUGAAGAAGCCUUGUCCUACCUGCGCUGAGAUGACCCAUGUGGGCAACGCUACCAUGGAUGGAGCAGUGGGGGAGGCGGUGGCUGAGUGGAUAGCAUGAUGGCGCCACAUUCGGGACAACGUGAGUUCAAUCCCCGCCCGGUGCCACCAAGCUGGGAUUUUUCAGCCGCCGCCGAGUGGCUUAAAACUACCCACAUGCUGUCCAGAAGACCACCUAUCAACCUGGGAGGGCAGCAUGAGCCAAUGCAAGAUGGCGUAUGUAUAUACUUAUGAAUGUAUAUACUUAGAAUAUCUCUUUGAUAAGGCUUUCGUCGGAGUUGUGGAUAUUUCCAGGGGUAGUUCUAUGACCCUGGUGGUAGUGUGACCCCUCCUCUGUACCAUGAACCUGAAGAAACACCUAUUUGACAAGGCUUUCUUAGGAGUUGAGGGCAUUUCCAGGAGUAGUUCUAUGACCCUGGUGGUAGUGUGACCCCUCCUCUGUACCAUGAACCUGAAGAAACACCUAUUUGACAAGGCUUUCUUAGGAGUUGAGGGCAUUUCCAGGAGUAGUUCUAUGACCCUGGUGGUAGUGUGACCCCUCCUCUGUACCAUGAACCUGUAGAAACACUCCUUCGAACCCGAUUGACCCCCUCUUCGACCUUUAUAAAUAGGUAAUGUGAAAAGCGAAAGUGUCUUGCAAUACCGCCCUAAGAGAACACUCAUUACAACCUGAUUUAUAACUUUUUUGGCUGGUACAUAAAGUCCCUGCUCAAGGUCACCAUACAGCAGGAGGCGUAACGUAUGUGUGGGUUUUCAAGCAAAAUCUGGAAACCUAUCUUCGUUAUUGGGGCUAUUUCCUUGCAAAUGGGGACUUUCCUGGGAGAGUACGUCACGGCAAAGCCAUUUCUGGUCUCAAAAUUGUGAUACAGCGCCUACCGGUCGAGAUAGCCUUGUGUCUAGUUCUGUCUCUCUCUUAUCUCUGUGUGUUAUAUAAAGGCUGGCCUCUAACAGUACAUGCAGCAACAUAUGUAACUGUACCUAAUGGGCUAUUAAGAAAUGUUUCAAAUGUUCUGCCUUUACCUCAGUUAAUUCAUUCUUCCUCAUAUAUAUAUAUAUCUUGAUUGCCGUCUCAUCUUUUUAAUUAAUCCUCGAUCGCUCUCUCUUAAUAUAUAUAUCUUGAUUGCCCUCUCAUCUUUUUAAUUAAUCCUCGAUCGCUCUCUUAAUAUAUAUAUCUUGAUUGCCCUCUCAUCUUUUUAAUUAAUCCUCGAUCGCUCUCUUAAUAUAUAUAUCUUGAUUGCCCUCUCAUCUUUUUAAUUAAUCCUCGAUCGCUCUCUUAAUAUAUAUAUCUUGAUUGCCCUCUCAUCUUUUUAAUUAAUCCUCGAUCGCUCUCUUAAUAUAUAUAUCUUGAUUGCCGUCUCAUCUUUUUAAUUAAUCCUUGAUCGCUCUCUCUUAAUAUAUAUAUCUUGAUUGCCCUCUCAUCUUUUUAAUUAAUCCUCGAUCGCUCUCUCUUAAUAUAUAUAUAUCUUGAUUGCCCUCUCAUCUUUUUAAUUAAUCCUCGAUCGCUCUCUCUUAAUAUAUAUAUCUUGAUAGCCCUCUCAUCUUUUUAAUUAACCCUCGAUCGCUCUCUCUUAAUAUAUAUAUCUUGAUUGCCCUCUCAUCUUUUUAAUUAAUCCUCGAUCGCUCUCUCUUAAUCAUCCCAGCCAGCUGUUCCUCAUAGUGGCCCUCGCACACUUGUACACAAUUUUCCGUACAUACCAAGAUCCAUUUCUAAUCGUCAGCCAACUCUAAUAUAAAUUCUUUCUUCCACUCCUCUUUAUAAUAGUAGUUCUGUCUCUCUCUGUGUGUUCUGUCUUUACCUCACAGUUCAUAAUUUGUCUCCUAAUUCUUGCCUUAUGUCAGGGUACUAGGCUUUAUUAACAGGACGGUAACCAACAGGAGUGCAGAGGUCAUCCUCAGACUCUAUUUAGCGUUAGUUAGGCCACACUUAGAUUAUGCUGUCCAGUUUUGGUGCCCACUCUACAGAAUGGACAUCAACUUGCUAGAAUCAGUUCAGAGGAGGAUGACCAAGAUGAUUCAGGGGCUGAGGAACCUCCCAUAUCAAAAUAGGCUGAAGUUAACUGACAUUAUUAUUUACAAGUCAUCCUUCUGUUGUAAUGGUAGCAAGCAUCCCUGACCAAAACUUGGAGUGACCUCACGCCAUGAUGACGAGGUUAAAUGUCCGGCCCUGAGCGGGAAGCUGCCCCGUGGCCUGGCCAGGGGCUUGAUGACCGUCCACCACCCAUUCGCGGGGCGUGGCGGGCCGAGCACAGGCUGAGUGGUGGAGGACUAUAGAGGAUCUUCCUUUUUUUGAGAAGAGGAGGAGAAGAGGAAUGAAGAGGAAGAGAAAGGAGAGAGAGGAGGAGGGAAAGAGGAAGAAGAGGAUGAAGGAAAGAGGAAUGAAGAGGAGAAGAAGAGGAAAGAGAGAAGAAGGAGGGAAAGAGGAGGAAGGAAAGAGGAAUGAAGAGGAAGGGAAAGGAAAGAGAAGGAGAAGGGAAAGAGGAGGAAGGAAAGAGGAUCACUUCUAUAGUAUGACAGCCAAGUUCCCUGACUGAAACUUGGAGUGACCUCACGCCACGUUGACGAGGUUAAGUGUCCGGCCCUGAGCGGGAAGCUGCCCAGUGGGGGGCUUGAUGACCGGCCACCACCUGUUCGCGGGGCGUGGCGGGCCGAACACAGACUGAGUGGUGGAGGUCUAUAGAGGAUCUUCCUUUUUUUGAGAAGAGGAGGAGAAGAGGAAAGAGAGAAGAAGGAGGGAAAGAGGAGGAAGGAAAGAGGAAUGAAGAGGAAGGGAAAGGAAAGAGAAGGAGAAAGGAAAGAGGAGGAAGGACAAGAGGAUCACUUCUAUAGUAUGACAGCCAAGUUCCCUGACCGAAACUUGGAGUGACCUCACGCCACGAUGACGAGGUUAAGUGUCCGGCCCUGAGCAGGAAGCUGCCCAGUGGUCUGGCCAGGGGCUUGAUGACCGUCCACCACCCGUUCGCGGGGCGUGGCGGGCCGAGCACAGGCUGAGUGGUGGAGGAGGGCUUUUUGAAGUUAACUAACAAUAUUAUUUACAAGUCAUCCUCCUGUUCGUAAUGGUAGCAAGCUUUUUGAAGUUAACUAACAAUAUUAUUUACAAGUCAUCCUUCUGUUCGUAAUGGUAGCAAGCUUUUUGAAGUUAAAUAACUAUUAUUUACAAGUAAUCCUUCUGUUGUAAUGGUAGCGAGCUUUUUGAAGUUAACUAACAAUAUUAUUUACAAGUCAUCCUUCUGUUGGUAAUGGUAGCAAGCUUUUUGAAGUUAACUAACAAUACUAUUUACAAGUCAUCCUUCUGUUGGUAAUGGUAGCAAGCUUUUUGAAGUUAACUAACAAUAUUAUUUACAAGUCAUCCUUCUGUUGUAAUGGUAGCAAGCUUUUUGAAGUUAACUAACAAUAUUAUUUACAAGUCAUCCUUCUGUUAGUAAUGGUAGCGAGCUUUUUGAAGUUAAGUAACAAUCGUAAUUAAUAUUAUCACUGGUCACUCCUAUUCAUCAUAAAGGACUCACUCACCUCUUGAGAGUGUUACAACUAUAUAGUAGAUCUGGUACACUGGCCAUAGCCUAAACACCUAACCGUUGCUACAUAUCAAGCUAUCCUAAUCAGGGUUCAGUGAAACAUAAUUAUUACAGAAAAAUGUUUCCUACCACCGAUGUGUGUUCACAGGGAUGAUCAUGGAAGUAAGGUGGUCAUGUGGGGCUGAAGACACCAAGGUUGUCAUAAAUACACACAAACACUGGACCAUACGAAUGACACUAACAAUUUAUCCGGUUCUAUUACUUAGUCAGACAUUCGUGUGGGUCUCAGAUACCAGAGGGUGAUCAUGGAUCGGCACAACAGAGGGGAACUUUACACAUUUUACUACAUGAGGGGGUAGGGGACAUGUGUAAGGAGAGGCGAGAGCUCGACUCGGUUAACCGUUAUAGGUAUGAUAAUAACAUUGUAACGCACUAAAUAAUCACUGUCCGUAGGAGUUAAUUUCACACAUACCUGUGUUUACGUUCAUAGUAACACCGUUGUUCCUUGUUUGAUCAUGAUUUCCUUGUUCGCUUUUACCAGCCCGUCCAUGUCCAGCCAUGGCAGGCUUUUAAAUCAAUCCAGGAACACAAGGUUGACAUGAAAAGACAAAACUGGUAAGCAUAUGUGGGUCCUAUACAGACCGCGAGCGAGUCCGUCCGUCCUCCGCCGCUGGGUCAGUUAAUGCCAUAUCAUGUGGUGAGUGAGUGCCAAUAAUAAGAGUGGUGGAUGAGCAGAUCAGGCCUGGCAGUCAUGUGGUGAAUUUUAUUGCGCUGGGGUAGAUAUCAGAUUCGGGAUAGAUAUGUGUUGACACGUUAUCAUUGUCAAAGGCAUGGCCACACCUUAAAAAACUGUAAUAUUAAGGAAGAUGAUGAUGUAUGUGGUAUCUGUUGUGGUAAUCAUAGACCUAGUUCCUCAAAUAUGCAGAAACAUAUCAAUUGUGUCAGACAGAGAAGGGAGGAGGUAAAUCAUAGAGUCAGUGCCAGGUGUUGUAAGGUUUUCACUGCUGAGUUAAGUAAGUUGGCCUCUAUAACGGAUCAUGGAUUCUAGGGUCGGUAUUACAAGACAGAUUUGCUUCUCUCAUCACCUAUUUCUAAAGGUCAAAGAGGGGGUCAGUCGUGUUCUAAUGAUUGUCUCUUCAGGUUUAUGGUACAGAAGAAGGGUCACACUACUACCAGGGUCAAACACUACUCCUGGAAAUGCCCACAACUCCUACGAAAGCCUUGUCAAAUAUGUGUUCUUGGGCUAUUGAAUAUUUAAAUUGCGCUUUUGUUAAUAUUCAAUCUCUGGGUAACAAGACUAUUCAAAUUAGGGAAAUGUUAAAUGAGCAAUCACUUGAUAUUCUAGCUAUUUCUGAGACUUGGCUGCAUGAGCGUGACACAAGUAGAAUUACUGGGAUGACACGUACCUGCUACUCACAUUUUCUUUCAUAGCCCCAGGGAGGGCAGACGAGGGGGUGGUGUAGGCAUUUUCUUGUCAAAUAUUUUUUCUCGCCUGAGGGUGUUGACACGAGUGAAAGUAUCAAGUUUUGAAUAUAUUGAAGUUAAUUUUAAGCAUCAAAACCAGUGGACAGCAUACUUUGUUAUUUCUAGGCCACCUUGGUCAAGUGUUAAUCUCUUCUUUGAUGAAUUUAGUGCAUUGUUGGACUUAAUUGAUAUGGUUUCUUUUAAAGUUUUUAUUGUUGGUGACUUCAAUAUAUGGAUGGAUGACCAUGAAAACCAACACACACUGAGAAGUCUGGCUGUGUUUUCAGGGCCGGAAAUACACGGGACUGUGACUUCAGUCUCAAAAAUUCAUUGAGCAUCGCAGUGUUGACGAAUAUUGUAUUAUAAACAAUUUA